rnacentral:rRNA from 1 species
AUUGAAAGCUUGCGGCAGGCCUUACACAUGCAAGUCGAACGAGUGGCGGACGGGUGAGUAAUGUUUGGGAAACUGCCGGAAGGAGGGGGAUAACUAUUGGAAACGGUAGCUAAUACCGCCUACCAUCGGAUGUGCCCAAAUGGGAUUAGCUAGUAGGUGGGGUAAAGGCUAACCUAGGCGACGAUCCCUAGCUGGCUUGAGAGGAUGACAAGCCACACUGGAACUGAGGAACGGCCCAGGCUCCAAGGGGAGGCAGCAGUGGGAAAUAUGGAACAAUGGGCGCAACCCUGAUGCAGCCAGGCCGCGUGUAUGAAGAAGGCCUUCGGGUUGUAAAGUACUUUCAGCGGGGAGACGUUACCCGCAGAAGAAGCACCGGCUAACUCCGUGCAAGCAGCGCGGUAAUUC